AUGGAGGGGUCGAGCCACUCGUACCAGCGGGCCUUGCACUGCUUGGCGGACUUGCGGACGAGCAGCGAGGAGAUGCGCGCCCACUGGUUCUUGCCGUACUUCAUCACGGCCGCCUUGAGGAUCUCGUCCUCGGUGUUCUUCCACACCCCGCCCUUGAUCAUGAUCCUCAUCUUGCCUCCCCCCUUGCCGCCUCGCUCGGCCUCCUAG
rnacentral:rRNA from 1 species